UACGUAGGGUGCGAGCGUUAAUCGGAAUUACUGGGCGUAAAGCGUGCGUAGGUGGUUUGUUAAGUUGGAUGUGAAAUCCCCGGGCUCAACCUGGGAACUGCAUUCAAAACUGACAAGCUAGAGUAUGGUAGAGGGUGGUGGAAUUUCCUGUGUAGCGGUGAAAUGCGUAGAUAUAGGAAGGAACACCAGUGGCGAAGGCGACCACCUGGACUGAUACUGACACUGAGGUGCGAAAGCGUGGGGAGCAAACAGG
rnacentral:rRNA from 1 species